UUGACAGAAUUUCUUUAUAUGAUUUCACCUGCCGGCAUCUAACGUGUAGUCCAUGUAGAGAGAGAGAGUCCAUGGCUGGUUACCGGAAAUAAUAACAUUUCAGAUUCUCCUCGGACACCUAAAGAAGCCGUCUUUUUCUUCCUGUUGUUGCUCCCAGAUACACCGGGUGUUUGCUGUAACGUGUCUAUGAAUUAUAUAUAUACAUGAAAUCUAGACAUUGUAGAAUGUUACCGCUUGCUGCAUUGGUCUUUAUGGCACUUUUGUCACCAGCAAAGACCGAUUUCGUCAACCUUCUUCUGCUAUAAAUUCAGUUAUUAAAAUUGAUAUCGCCAAUGUUCCAGGUCAACUUCACGUUUUUUUUUUUUUUCCAACGAAAAUUUAAACACAUGUCCGAUUUACCCCAAAAGAGGCUCCCCGGGGAAAACACAAGAGAAAAAAUGCAAACACCGCUGUUUCGGAGUUCUCAAGUUGCCCGGCGCGCGUAUUUCAGCGCCAAAGAAGUCAUUCUUCCUCCGAGAUAUGGUACGAUAGAAGCGUCAGGAGAAAAUCAAGACGGGACCUUUCAGAGGCUGCAGGUUUUGUGCGAUUAAGGCACGUCAAGGGGGUGAAGUAACGACGGCCCGCAUGGCGCAGAAAUACGCGCGGCCGGCUACGUGGGAAUCCCGAAACGGCGAUUUUUGCAUCUACGUGUGUGUAUUUCCGCAUGCAUUUCCGGAUGCAUUCAGUCAUGUUUCGGCGUAAAUCGAACAUGCACUUUCCAUUUCCGCUGGAAGAACGUUGAGUAGACUUGGCAGAUUAGCGAAAUCACUUUUAAAAGUUCAAGUUAUUGCAGCUGAAAGUUGACAAAAUCGGUCUUUUCUGGUGUUAAAAGUGCCGCCAACACAAAUGCACCAAGCGGCAUCGUUGACGUCUAGAUUUCUUAAAAAGUAUCACUCACGGACGCGUUACACCCCGUAUACGACACUCGUUUUGGUUUCUGUUUGCUUGAGAUCAUCCGUCUGUUUCCACAUUACAUGGUGUAAACAGAGACACAGUACUACUGGCAAAAAUCGCUGACAUACGCGACCGUGAACGCAAUCAUACACAAACGCGAGGGUCUGUGUGUUGUUAUCCCCUCGCUCUGGGUCAUGUACUUCACCCACCAUCUAGUCGCUAUCAAUUUACCCGCCAUAUUAUAUAUAAAACACUGAUGACUUCAACGAAAAGUCCAUCACGGAUAUAACACGCUACCUUCAGUUAGAAUUUAAAAAAAGGAGGAUUACGAUAGGCGACUUCUGUUACUGCUGUUGGUACCUGUGGUGUCUUACGCCGUACGUACAGCAUUGACGAACCAGCCAGCAUCCUUCAGUCCCAAACUUUAUUAAACUUUCCCUCGUGCCGUGAUGUCCAUAGCUAUAUGCUGCGACAUAAGCUACCUUUCUGUUUCGGUUUCUCGUGAUGACGACGAAGCAAAUGUUUAGUUUCCUCUUCUUGGUUACUUGCGCAAUUCGCGAUGAAUAACGUUAGUACCCUGAUCAUCACGUAAUGCGAAAUUAAAAGUUAGCGUCUUCCACAUUAACAUCAGAACAACUUGCACACUAACUUUCUAUAACGCAUCGCCAACUCUCUGUGAGAAGCGUCACGAAAACGAGAGCGAACGCAGUAGCAUAUAGGGUAUAACAAAUAUGAGUGAUCGGGAUUCCUGUUAACGUGUUUAUUUCUACGAACCUCUGUGUCGCUGCUGUACUUGACGGUCUCCAAAUCCCACCAGCUGAGCAGCACACGUUGUUGGGCUGCUUGGUGUCUUGCAGUACAGAAGAUAGCUCUAAGAACGGACUACCACUAAGAGGAUAUAGACGGGACAAGUGCUCGUCCCGUCCACAUAUUUCCGGUGUCGUCCUUUCGGAGCUCAUUUUAUUCGCAGUAGAACGCACCGCACUCAAAGCAAAAGUGAAAAGUGGCAACCUUAGUACGCCUCUUACGGCGUGACGACCGCUACUGGGCUCAACAGCUCUGAGGGGACUUUCCGUGCUACUACAUGCACUACAUUGUAUUACUGGUGUGUGUACAGCGAACAUUUCUACGGACCUACAUCUUAGUUAAUCGAACAUUUUCAUGGUGACUUCAAAUUCAUCCGUGUUCCUUAUCAGUUCCCUCACUAUCACGUCUGAAUAUUUUAAGUUUGCGUUUCUUGAUUCGUCACACUCAACCAGGGAUGGGGAUAAAUACACUUUUCGGGUAUUUGAAUAUAAAUACAAAAUACUACCUGUUUUGAUAUACUUAAAUAGUGCCUAUAAAUACUUUAUGGUGAAAGUAAUUCAAUACGAAAUAUAAAUACAUUAUGACAGUAUUUAAAUACUGUAACUACUUCCGUAAAUACCUUGAGCCGUGCAGGCACUAUAUUCUUAGUGUAUAGUGUAAAUUAUAAGUGUAAAGUAUAUAUAGUGUGUAAAUUAGUGUAUAAGUAGAGCUACCCUCUAAGAAGGUCGAGAUAAGUGCUUGAUCGGGAAAAGAGCAUCUUUUUCAGCCUCUAUUAAAGGGACUCUGACCAGAAACUGUGGGAGCUCUUUCGUACCUGUAGUCGAUAAAGCACCCAACAAGGACUCUCCAUGCGAAAAUUCACGCAUUAAAACCCCACGGUUUCUCUAAACUCGAAUUUUAAACAUUCGACUUCAUCCGAGUGCAGCACGCCUAGCGUCAAACCGAGAAAACAUACGUUUAUAUAGAAUAUCCACCCCGGCCCACCAUCAAGAUGACGUCAACACGGGGGCCACUCGCGACACCCACAAUUGGCUCAAACGCGUCACGUGGUCACGCAAUAUCUGUCAAUUUCCUUCAUGAAAUGGCAUUUCUACGUUAAUAUGUUUUUGUUACAGAGCCUCAAAAAGAAAAAUAUACCCUGCAUUUAUGACCUGCAACAGUUUCUACGAUUUUCUUUUCAAUCUGUACACGGCGUUCGAUAUAUGCUUCCGUAUCCGGUCAGCUGUAAUGGAUGCCGUAUGCCGAGCUUGCGAACUGCGAACUUGUGUGACUCCCGGUUCAUCCUCUUUGUUCGGGUCAUUGGGUUGGUGUUGGAGUUGGUCACCAUAUUCUGAACGUUUCACCUAUCGUUGCGGUGUACUGUUCUUGAUCUGCUGCGAAGCGACGAACCGCAACGGCAGUCACGCGCCUCAGCGAACUUCUGUCUGCUGCAUCUCAAAGGAGCAUGGGGACCUGAUGAUACUCUCAACUAAAAACACCAAAUGUGCUCUCGUGUGGUCCUGACGGAAAAGUAGUAUCAACAAGGUUAGCACAUUUAUUUUUCAGUUCCAAGUCUACGUACUGAAAACCAUGCAGGUCCAGUCGAUCAUUCUCGUAGCUGUUGUGUAACGCGUAUGCUUUCUUACAUAUCCCACGGAACCCUCCACUUUUUCGACCAAGUUAUCGUUAUGAGAUCCUUGUGAUGGCUUCUUACUAGGCUAUGCCGCUCCGAAGCAUUGAGAUGACGAAGCGUCGUGGUAGCUGCACCUCUGCCUUCGAAAGAUGAAUCAGUCAUUCCACACUGUGCUUACUGGCUUUGUAUAGAGUCUGACAAAUCCGACAGACUUGGACUGCCUUUUUCAAGAAAGUUUGAAAUAGCAUCCCUUAUGCACCUGCAUUUCAAUUCCAAUCUGUAUUACAAGAAUGACAGACCACUCAACAGAGAUGAACAUCUGAAAGUGAAAGAGCUGGAACGAAGAUACGUUAAUCUGUGUGAAAGGUGUUUAGCAUGUGUGUGAGUCGAGGACACAGGUCUCAAGCUUAUUCCUGUCUUCAGAAGAGGUGAAAACUAUGCUCCUUCUAUCUAUUAACCAGCUCCACAUUUUAGGGUUCCCUGUAAACUAAUGGAGCACAUCAUGUACUACCACGUUGUCAACCAAGUUGACUCUGUCAAUUUCUUUUUUUAAAUUCCAGCAUGGCUUUAGAAAAGGGUAUUCAGGCAAAACUAACGUAGUGGAAUUCGUUCACAGCAUUUCAAACUGUCUUGAUUUCUGGGUCCACGUAGAUGUAGUAUUCUUUUUAUUUUGUAAGGGCUUUUGACACUGUGCUCUACGCUCGCGUGUUGGCCAAAGUAGCCUAAUUAAAAUUUGAUCCUGCUA